ACUUCCUGUUAGAAAACAAGCACCUUAGGCUUAGCCUCUCCAGUAAUUCACUGUUUGACUCUAAGUCUCAAGCAAAUGAAUCUCUUUAGAAAAAGCUAAACCAUCCCCAGAGCCACAGCUGCAAAGAAUCUGGGAACCGUACCUUCUUCGUUUCUUACCUAGCGCAUUAAACAGGAGCUGGAAUUCGUGCUGAGCAAGCCAAGGCUUGGCGACUGACCGGAGGACAUCUGGGAGUUGUCAAGACCACGCAUGUAGUUGCUGCCUGCAACCCAAACGCACGUGGUUCUUACAGCGUUAUCACAAGAACAUUUUCAAAGACAGGACACUUGAACGAAAAGCACAGGCUUCUUAGGAAAUGAAGAGACUUUAAAAUAAAUAGCAAAGCUAUAAAAACUGGCAAAAAAAAAUUCUUCGCCUCCUGCUCCAUCCUUCCCCAGAGCUCCUUCCCAUCGCUACAUAAUAUCACCAUGGAAAUGACAUCACUUCUUCUGUAUGCUAUUGGUCAAAGAACAAAGCCCUACAAUAUGGGAGAGUACUGAAAAGUGUGAAUACUAGGAGGUAUUCACCAGCUAAAAUAUUGGCCAGCACACAGAAGUUAUAUUGAAUUUAAUCUCCUCGCAAUGAAUGUAUUUUCAAGCCAUAACACUUAAAAAGAGUUGGGGAGUACAUUAAUGCAACGUUACUCGAAACAAAGGAAAGAUGUUGAAAUAUUGCAAACAUUCUUAAAGAGAGUACAAUGACAUAAAUAAG